UGGCUGUCUAGACUGAAAUGUGCCGG
rnacentral:piRNA from 1 species